rnacentral:rRNA from 1 species
AACGAACGCUGGCGGCAUGCCUAACACAUGCAAGUCGAACGAGACCUUCGGGUCUAGUGGCGCACGGGUGCGUAACGCGUGGGAACCUGCCCUUAGGUUCGGAAUAACUCCCCGAAAGGGGUGCUAAUACCGGAUAAUGUCUUCGGACCAAAGAUUUAUCGCCUUUGGAUGGGCCCGCGUUGGGUUAGCUAGUUGGUAGGGUAAAAGCCUACCAAGGCGACGAUCCAUAGCUGGUCUGAGAGGAUGAUCAGCCACACUGGGACUGAGACACGGCCCAGACUCCUACGGGAGGCAGCAGUGGGGAAUAUUGGACAAUGGGCGAAAGCCUGAUCCAGCAAUGCCGCGUGAGUGAUGAAGGCCUUAGGGUUGUAAAGCUCUUUUACCCGCGAUGAUAAUGACAGUACCGGGAGAAUAAGCUCCGGCUAACUCCGUG